CGGGAGGCAGCAGUUAGGAAUCUUCCACAAUGGGCGAAAGCCUGAUGGAGCGACGCCGCGUGAGGGAUGAAGGUUUUCGGAUCGUAAACCUCUGAAUCAGGGACGAAAGACGCUUUAUGCGGGAUGACGGUACCUGAGUAAUAGCACCGGCUAACUCCGUGCCAGCAGCCGCGGUAAUACGGAGGGUGCAAGCGUUAUCCGGAAUCACUGGGCGUAAAGGGCACGUAGGCGGUCUAUUAAGUCCGAUGUUAAAGCGUGGGGCUCAACCCCAUCACGGCGUUGGAUACUGAUAGGCUUGACGACUGGAGAGGUGAGUAGAAUUACCAGUGUAGCGGUGGAAUGCGUAGAUACUGGUAGGAAUACCCAUUGCGAAGGCAGCUCACUGGACAGUACGUGACGCUGAGGUGCGAAAGUGUGGGGAGCAAACCGGAUUAGAUACCCGGGUAGUCCACGCCCUAAAC
rnacentral:rRNA from 1 species